UUACCAAGACUUAAAUGGGAACUGACAGUUUUAGAAAUAGAACUUUCUUCGGACAAUUUUCAAGGUGCUGCAUGGUUGUCGUCAGCUCGUGCCGUGAGGUGUUAGGUUAAGUCCUGCAACGAGCGCAACCCCUGUCACUAGUUGCCAUCAUUCAGUUGGGGACUCUAGUGAGACUGCCUACGCAAGUAGAGAGGAAGGUGGGGAUGACGUCAAAUCAUCACGGCCCUUACGUCUUGGGCCACACACGUAAUACAAUGGCCGGUACAGAGGGCAGCUACACAGCGAUGUGAUGCAAAUCUCGAAAGCCGGUCUCAGUUCGGAUUGGAGUCUGCAACUCGACUCUAUGAAGCUGGAAUCGCUAGUAAUCGCGCAUCAGCCAUGGCGCGGUGAAUACGUUCCCGGGCCUUGUACACACCGCCCGUCAAGCCAUGGAAGCUGGGGGUACCUGAAGUCGGUGACCGUAAAAGGAGCUGCCUAGGGUAAAACUAGUAACUAGGGCGAAGUCGUAACAAGGUAGCC
rnacentral:rRNA from 1 species